rnacentral:rRNA from 1 species
AACGAACGCUGGCGGCAGGCCUAACACAUGCAAGUCGAGCGCGCCCUUCGGGGUGAGCGGCGGACGGGUGAGUAACGCGUGGGAACGUGCCCUUUUCUACGGAAUAGCCUCGGGAAACUGAGAGUAAUACCGUAUACGCCCUUUGGGGGAAAGAUUUAUCGGAAAAGGAUCGGCCCGCGUUGGAUUAGGUAGUUGGUGGGCUAAUGGCCUACCAAGCCGACGAUCCAUAGCUGGUUUGAGAGGAUGAUCAGCCACACUGGGACUGAGACACGGCCCAGACUCCUACGGGAGGCAGCAGUGGGGAAUCUUAGACAAUGGGGGCAACCCUGAUCUAGCCAUGCCGCGUGAGUGAUGAAGGCCUUAGGGUUGUAAAGCUCUUUCAGCUGGGAAGAUAAUGACGGUACCAGCAGAAGAAGCCCCGGCUAACUCCGUG